rnacentral:rRNA from 1 species
UUGGAGGGCAAGUCUGGUGCCAGCAGCCGCGGUAAUUCCAGCUCCAAUAGCGUAUAUUAAAGUUGUUGCAGUUAAAAAGCUCGUAGUUGAAUUUCGGGAUCAGCAAGUUGGUCGUGCCUCUGGUACGUACUGGCUUUACUGGUUCCUCCUUCUUGAAGAACUGUAAUGUCAUUAAUUUGGUGUUGCAGGGAAACAGGACUGUUACUUUGAAAAAAUUAGAGUGUUUAAAGCAAGCUAACGCUUGAAUACAUUAGCAUGGAAUAAUGAAAUAGGACGUUUGAUCCUAUUUUGUUGGUUUCUAGGAUUGACGUAAUGAUUAAUAGGGAUAGUUGGGGGCAUUAGUAUUCAAUUGUCAGAGGUGAAAUUCUUGGAUUUAUUGAAGACUAACUACUGCGAAAGCAUUUGCCAAGGAUGUUUUCAUUAAUCAAGAACGAAAGUUAGGGGAUCGAAGACGAUCAGAUACCGUCGUAGUCUUAACCAUAAACUAUGCCGACUAGGGAUCGGAUGAUGUUAAUUUUUAAUGACUCAUUCGGCGCCUUACGGGAAAC